rnacentral:rRNA from 1 species
CGAACGCUGGCGGCACGCCUAACACAUGCAAGUCGAGCGGAGAUUGAGAGCUUGCUCUCAUGAUCAGCGGCGGACGGGUGAGUAACACGUGAGCAACCUGCCUUUCAGAGGGGGGACAACAGUUGGAAACGACUGCUAAUACCGCAUAAUAUUGCCGGCCGGCAUCGGCUGGCAAUCAAAGGAGCAAUCCGCUGAAAGAUGGGCUCGCGUCUGAUUAGAUAGUUGGUGAGGUAACGGCCCACCAAGUCGACGAUCAGUAGGGGUUCUGAGAGGAAGGUCCCCCACAUUGGGACUGAGACACGGCCCAAACUCCUACGGGAGGCAGCAGUGGGGAAUAUUGCACAAUGGGGGAAACCCUGAUGCAGCGACGCCGCGUGAGUGAUGAAGUAUUUCGGUAUGUAAAACUCUAUCAGCAGGGAAGAUAAUGACGGUACCUGACUAAGAAGCACCGGCUAAAUACGUG